GACGGGUGCAGGGUAACAGUGUCUGAGGAACUGGUCUUGGAGGAUGAAACCACAGUGGCAUAUCGGAAGAGCUGGGAGCCAGACGGCAAGCUGCCGCUCCAGGUCUGCAAAAGGAAUGGUUGAGCAACACGUCACGCCAAGGUACACAGGAGCUCCUGGGGCUCCAGAACCGACCAUCAUGUCCAGUGGCCAUGGUGACAGCAGCUGUCAGAGCCGAGUUCCACUCGAUCCCCUCCUCCAUACUCUCUUCCGACAGUGCGAUCUGGG